CCAAAAAUUAACACUGAGAGGCAAGCCUGCCCCUGUUUGCCAGUAAGCUCCCUGGGAACUGCAGCACCAUGCAUGAUCCCGCAAAGGGCACCCACAAUGUAAAGUGUGAGUGCUCAUUUUGCAUAUGUAGCCUGGCCAGCGAACUUCAAUGUUAAGAUUGGGAAAGUGCAAAGGAUUUCCUUUUGCACAAGUCCUCCUUCCAGGCAUCUAUCCCAAACUCUCCCCAAAUCUGCUCCAAAGGGUUGGAGCAACAUAUCUAGGGGGAAUUCCAUUGCACAAGCAGAAAUCCUUGUACUGAGACAAUGGUUUAAUUGGAUACUGCUCAUUAUUUCUCCCCCAUCCCCAUUCAUAAUUCAAUGGCAGAGCAUGUGGCUUUACAUUUUAGUCCCUGGCAUCUCCAACACCUGAAACCCUGGAGAGCUUCUACCAGUCAGUGCAGACAGUGCUAAGUUAGAUGGACCAACAACAACUUCCUUUUUUGCUAACAAUGGAGGUUUUUUAUCAGCCUCCUGAUCCUAAAUCAAGUGUCACUUCAGAUAAACACACAACAGUAAAGGAUUCUACAGCAAGAGCAGUGUCCUUGGUAGAUAGUGGCUAGUUGUGGUUGGAGAAAAUGCAUUAUGGAAAGAGUUGAUGUGGUCUGGAAUUCUAGGAUGUCAUCACAGCAGGCAGUUUUUUUCAGUUAGGUCUGUUAUCAAGUGCAGAGAGUGAGAGAGGGAGUUUUACUGUGCGUUUGUUUUAAAGUGCUAUGUGCCUCAGAAUAAGUAGGUAAAAUCUCGUAAGUCUGCCAGUUUCUCGUGUGUGUGUGUGUGUGUGUGUGUGUGUGUAUUUUCAGUGCUUUUUUUCUGGGGGGACGCAGGGGUACUCACACCUCUAAACAUUUUGUGAAUCAAACGGAAGAAACUAAACAUUUUAAACUUUUUAUUUUCUUCUCUAGCACGGUGAAUCCUCAAUUCUGUUGCUACCCCCGAUGGCGGCCUCAUUUCCUGAGUCUCAGACUGAACAAGCAUUUAAUGUGUGAAGUAGAAGUUGGAAUCUAGCAUGAGGUAGUGCGUGUUCUUUGUACUUUUGUCCAUUUAUUGUAUUUAUUUUCCCCAAUUUCAAGUAUAAAAUGGUGAUUUCCUUGAGUCAAAAUGAGAGUACCCCUAAACAUCCCCCCCCCGGAAAAAAGCACUGUAUGUUUUAUCGUACCAAAGAAAGUUAUGUGUUAUGUUUAAACUCCUGGGGCAGCUUCUGCACAUAUAAAUACCACAACAUGUGCUCUCUUGAAGAGAAGCACAUUCCUCAGAAUAGUGGCCUCAGAAUAGUGGCCUCAAAUCUCAAAUCUAAAGUUUGAUCAUCAAAGGCACUGAUGGAAACAAUGGCCAGGUGCCUUGUGAAACGCCCUGUGAGACACAAAGGAAGGCAGAGUAAGUCUCAGUGCAGCUUUGCCAUUCCUUCUGGUGACCCCAGGCAGAUAGUUGAAACUGCUGGUGAAAGCGGCAAGGUCACGUCUACACCAUACAUUUAAGGUGCUAUUAUGCCACUUUAAAUUGCCCUGGCUUCCUCCCCAAAGAAUCCUCGGAACUGUAGUUUGUUACAGGUGUUGAAAGUUGUUAGGAGAUCCCUCACAGAGCUACCAUUUGUAGGCUGAUCCAUAUUUCUUUCAGACUGAUUGACAUGCAACUAUCUAAGUCCAAAAUUAGAGGAGGAAAGAUGUUGGGCACCCUCACCUUCUAAUAGGAGUGCUCUUGGUAAAGUUUCCAGUCAGGGUGACCCCCUCCUUCCUCCAUGUUUUCCACCUCCCCACCCUAAUUAAUUAUAAGUAUUCCCUGGGUAAUAAGCAUAUCCAGUUCUUAUGGCACCAGCUUUUGUGUUUGUACAUUUCCCCCAUUGCAUUUAGAUUUUCUUCUUUCUCCAUGGCUCUUUCUUAGCUAAAAUCCUAACAUUAGAGGGAAGGAUGGUGCCCUUUUGCAGCCCUUCUCAACCUUGGGUCCCCAGAUGUUGUAGGUCUACAACUCCCACCAUCCCUGACCUGGUCCUUCUAGUUAGGGAUGAUGGGAGUUGUAGUCCAACAACAUUGGGGACCCAAAGUUGAGAAAGACUGUCCUAUUGCAUUUAAUCUGACAUCAUGCAGGUAAUAUCAUUCCUUCCACCUCCCGGAGGCCCCUUUGCUGAAAGGAACAGAACAUCAACAAUAGCAAGCCUUGAGGUGUCCUUCUUGUCAUACCAGUUGCUGUGAUCAAUCCAUUGCCUAAGGAAUUCUGUAGAAGGCUAGGCUCCAUAUACCUCCUUGGCAGACAUAUUUAAGUCAUCUAGGAAGAAUAUUGAUGCAUUUAUCUUCCAAAGACAAAAAAUAACUCCCUCUACCCCUCUCUCUCUCCCCAUCAACACAAGCAAGCAAAGAAAGGGAGAGGAUGAGAAUGAGUUAGAGUGUUAGGCCAGAGGAGACCAGGGUUAUCAAAUCCCCACUGAGUUCUAAAACUUACUGGGUGACCACGUUCCCGUUGCACCAGGGAGUGCAUUUGACAGGUGGGGAACUGCCACCGACAGGGCCCUCAAUCAAUUCCACUGAAGGCACAUCCAGUGACAGCACCUGGAAUAAGAAAGGAAAGGGUGGUUCUUGGAAAGUUAUUGUUUCACUGGACUGUUCAUCCUGACAAUGUGGUAUAUUUGAUAUGAUUACAGGAGGAGUGCGAGGGAGACCUUGCCGAGGCAAUGCCAGCCCUGGACGCUCCCCUUUCGGCUCUCCAUACCCUGAACCUGGCAAAUACCUCCUUUGUCAAAUCCCUACAGGAUCCACCAGGACCUGUCAAGCUGGUCAUGGAGAGCGUGAAAGAAAAGCCAGAAAGAAAGCCUGAUCUAAGUGGAAGCGGCCACUUCCUUGUUAGUAUUUUGUGGGAGGGAUUGCAGUGUACACUGGAGAUUUAGGAUGGUGCAGUUAAAGUGGAUUAAAGUGCUCUGUCAUCCACCUUGCUUAACUUCUGCAUAAGCAAGCAAAUCAAGAUGCAUGCCCAAUAAGUGGUUUGUCAGGUGGAGCUCACUGAUCAAGUUGUUGACUAUGCCUUCUGUCUAAGAGCAAUCUUCAUCUGCUCUUCUUUUUUAAAUAGAUGACCAUGUCCACUCUGUGGCUCCUUGGUCUUUUCCUAUUCACUGUGGUGCGGACCAUGGUUGGCCCCACCAACUCUUGAUUCCAGAGGUAGGUUGGAUUUGGCUUAGGUAUUGGAGGGCUGGCACAUGAUAGAGUCUGCGUAACAAUAGCAGCAACUCCCCAUCCCACACACCAAUUUCAAAUUACAUUGAAAAAGUAAAGAAAAAGUAAAGCAAACUGUAGGGAAGGCCAGGAAUGGAUUUUCUGUGAAAACAAAUUCCUAUGUGGAAAAACUGCAGUCAGAGGCAGGGAUGGAAGGCUCUGUCAGUUUCAGUUCUCUUUCAGUUACUCUAAGGCUAUCAGAGAGUUCCUAUGAAUUUCCAGUUUUGUUGAAUAUGAACUCUCAUCAUUAUAUUAUAAUUAUUUUUUUAAAAAAAUACAUAUUUUAUUCACAUUGUUGCAUUUAUGACCUUUUUAUUGACAUGCAAUAUUUUAUGAAUUGUUGCAUACAACCCUACUAAAAGAGAAUUAUAUGAAAAUGAUGCAUUGGUGGUAUCUGGUUAAAUUAGCAAAAAUGUAUAGAACAGGAUCUAGUAAGUGUUGGAAAUGUAAAGAAGCAGGGUAUACUAGAUGCCAUGCUAACAAAGUGAUAAUUACUCCUUGGCUACGAGACAUAAAUGAGAGAUAUUACAUGACCGUCCAUGUCUUAGGACAAGCUUACAAGAGAUAGACCCUUCUUGGUGGUGAGGCCAAGAUGGCAGAAUCAUUGGUUCCAAAAUGGUUCCAUUCUUAAACGGCUCUACCAUCAAUAUGUUUCUCCCAAUGUGCAAACAAACUCUGCUGAGUUGUCACGUAAGAGGCAAAAAGAGAGUUUUCUAGCUAUGAAGUCACAGCAACAGCACAAUUUUUCCCCGUAUUGCCUUCCACCUACUGUGGAAUGCGCUGCUUGUACCGCCAAACUUUGCAGUGGGCAAUUUGCAGGUGUUGGCACCCUUUUCAAGUGAAUCGGACGACUUUGCAGCAGGCAAUUUGCAGGGGAUGGGCACCAUUUUCAAGUGAAUCGGACGUCAGAUUUUUUGAUAAAAACGUGACCCGUGGGUCAGGGCACCGAGGGCUCGUUUUAUGGCCUACCAUGAAGCGUGGUGUUUUCACCACCCAAAUGGACCCUUGCUCUGACCCACUCUCUUGCUCUAGCCAACAUGUGGGAAGUUGUUACUGGCACUGGCCUAUCUGAAAGUCUUCAGUGCAACCAGAAGAUAGACCUGUGGCAUCAAUGCCUAGUGGUCAUCCCUAGCCCAUACUUUGAAAAAUACUGUGCUGCAUCAUUUUCUUGGCUUCUGCAAAGAGCCACUUUGAUCCAAUGCAUGGAAUUUUGGACUCGCUUUGAGUAUAGCAGGGUUCAAAUCCAGGCUCAUGUUAUGAACCUCCCAGGCUCACUGGAUACUGGAAAACCAUGGGAAGGAAAAUAAGCUUCAAUUUAUUGCACACUGAUCUUUUCUGUCAGUUUUUCCUGAAUCACUUCUAGUUCAAUGACUUGACCACAAGGUGGAACACUCAGAUCACUGAAGCAGAUUCAGACUGUGCUUCUCAUAUGAGGACGAAGCCAAUGCUAGAAUUCCCAUUUCAACAUAACUUGCAUUCAUUUCUCCUCUUCCUAGUUGUGAAUACAAAAGAGCUUUCUUCUACGGCUGCCAGAUUUGCCAGUUGGCCCUUUCAAUUUGACACACAUUUCCAAAAAUGCAGAAUGCAGUUUUUGCAAGUGAAAUCUUUCACUGCCCAGGCACCCCGAUAUAGAAAUAAUCCAAAUCUAAGAAAUGACCAGAUAUUCAUGCAGUGAAUUUUAAAAUACCUUGGCUUUUUGGCUGCUUCCUCCCGAUUAAUGUCUCCAAGCAUUACCGAGUCAUCAUUCACCUGCAGUUAAGCGGCAAAGGGAAUUACAACUGACAUUCUAUACUGUUUGGAGUUUGACACUUUUAAACCUAAGUCUAUAAAAAGAGCCUGGCAAGAUCGGACCUAAAACACACCUGCUUUUGAAUCCUGCUCUCCCAGUGGCCAAGCGGGUGCAUUUAGGAAGCCCCCGCGGGGAUCAUGAGCAUACUCCUCAAUUAAAAUUCCAGCAAGUGGAAUAUUGCCUCCAACAGAGGGAUAUCGGGGACUGUUUGGACACUGAGCAGUGGUGGCUGGGCAGAAGUAGAGUUGCAAGACUGACUUGGAAGAAAGGAGCAGUGAUCUGGGGGAGCCUGUAACAGCCAGGAGAUGACAGUCAGAGGCAGGAGAUGAUGCAGGAUAGAAAAUCAUCAUCAUCAUCAUCAUCAUCAUCAUUUAUACACUGCCAAUCAAACAUUAAAAACUCCCCUAAACAGCGCUGCCUUCAGAUGUCUUCUAAAAGUCAGAUAGGUGUUUAUUUCCUUGACAUCUGCUGGGAGGGCGUUCAACAGGGUGGGCGCCACUACCGAGAAGGCCCUCUGCCUGGUUCCCUGUAACCUCACUUCUUGCACUGAGAGAACCGCCAGAAGGCCCUCAGAGCUGGACCUCAGUGUCCGGGCUGAACGAUGGGGGUGGAGACGCUCCUUCAGGUAUACCGGGCCAAGGUCAUUUAGGAUUUUAAAGGUCAAUGUCAACACUUUGAAUUGUGCUCGGAAACGUACUGGGAGCCAAUGUAGGUCUUUCAGGACCGGUGUUGUACAGUCUUGGCGGCCAUUCAGAAAGUGAAGAACAGGUGGUGGAGGAGGGAGGGAUACGGCAGGCUGUGUUGGGUCAAGGACUUCCACACCUCCCCCUCCUGCCCCCUGCUUCUGUCUCCCAGGUCAAGAAGAGGAUUGAAGAGGGAGGAGCAGGAAGAGGUUACACUCAGAUGUAGUCUGCGCCUGCUUGCACACAGCUCAGAUAGUGGAGAUACAUAAGCCGAGUCCAGGGUGGGACCUCUCCGUUGCAGCAACUGCCUCGACAGCUGCUCACCUAGGAGUAGCCAAGAGACAGAGGACUGGUGAGCAAGUUAUUGUCUUCCACCUGCACCAGUGGCUAUGACACAGCUGUUGUGGAUCGGACCCUUUUGGAAUUCUAGAAAUCCUACGUUGGAUGCCAUUCUAUGACCCGAUUUCAACCAUGCGUGUCUGAAAGCUGUCAAAAUUGCCCAAAUCAACUGCUCCUUUGCGCUGGGCUUUCCUGGCGUGGAAAGAGCUUUGAAGCUCUCUGGCUCGCUUCCUAGGCUCUGGGGUGCUCUGGUGAGAUCUUACGGGAAUUCAGACAGCCCUUCAAGGUUUUGCGAGAGCGCCCCCAGAGCCCACACACUGAGCAGGACUUGCCCAAAAGCAAGGAAGAAAGCUUAAAAGCUCCCAGCUUGUUUGGUGGGGAGGAUUAAGGCUCUCUUAGCAUGCCUGCUCUGGAAGAAAAGUUUGCUUGAGCAGGGUAGUUCCAUGGGGGGCAGGUUGUGUAUACACGGUUUUGCGUAUAUGCACCACCCCCAAAGCAUAAACCUUGUGCAAGAUGCAAUCAUACUGUAUUAAGGGCCAUAAUGAAACGUCAGUGCUUUCCUUUAAAGCACCAAUAAAUAACAGCCACUGGGGGGAAAAACUUGAGUGCUCCAUAGGAGACAUUUGCACAAUCAGUGCAGUAAUGCACCUGCUAUCUGAAGCUCUCCCGAUGCAACACUCAGAUUUCUAUGGGUGGAGUGGUUUUCAAGGAGUGGCAUAGCAGCUGAGAUGCCAGCUUCUGGAAACAGACACUGUUGCAGAGUGACAGAUGACAACAAAUUCUUACAUGGAGGAUUCUUGAAAUGCAGUCACUCCUUGAUUCUUUUGUCUUGCUUUGAAAUUUUACCCCUUUGACUAAGAGAGAUUUGAUUUCAUUUGAUAUUUUUAGGUACAGAAGUUUGUUUGUUUUUUGCAAAUGGGCAUAUUAAAAAAGGGACUUCUGUCUUGCAAUGAAUGUCAUGAUAUGUAUCACCAGCUGUCCAUUUCUAAGAAAGUAAGGGGCCUAUAAUAGCUACACUUCGUGCCUAUAUAAGGUAAAGGUUGGGCAUGCCACUCAUUAAGGAUUCCAUGGAGAAGUCUAAAGCAAGUGAUAUGAUCAAGACCAUUUUUUGUAUUAUAAGUAAACAUAUACAUAUGCAUGCACACAGACUCUCAUUUUGGAAGGUUAUAGCAUCCUCAGCAGGCUGGGGAAAGAUUUCAGCUCAUUCCACAAUCUGGAGCAAACCUUCCCAGUCUGCAGCCAAUGGAUUAUGCUCUGCUCAGAACACAAACAUAUGGAUUAGACUGCAUGCCUAUGUGUUGGAGAAAACUACAUUUCCUUUUCUUGAGUUCAUAGUUAAGGCAUGUGUUACUUAAACCAUGAGAGGGCACUGUUUGUGUAUCAAUGUUUCUUGUAACCCCACCCUUAAAAGCUGAGCCAUUUGGUUUGUUCUUCUCUACAGACAAGAUGUCUUCUAUUUUCUCUCAUCUCCACCCACCCCGU